CCUACGGGAGGCAGCAGUGGGGAAUAUUGCACAAUGGGGGAAACCCUGAUGCAGCGACGCCGCGUGAGUGAAGAAGUAUUUCGGUAUGUAAAGCUCUAUCAGCAGGGAAGAAGAAAGACGGUACCUGACUAAGAAGCCCCGGCUAACUACGUGCCAGCAGCCGCGGGAAUACGUAGGGGGCAAGCGUUAUCCGGAUUUACUGGGUGUAAAGGGAGCGUAGACGGCUGUGCAAGUCUGAAGUGAAAGCCCAGGGCUCAACCCUGGGACUGCUUUGGAAACUGUGGAGCUAGAGUGCUGGAGAGGUAAGUGGAAUUCCUAGUGUAGCGGUGAAAUGCGUAGAUAUUAGGAGGAACACCAGUGGCGAAGGCGGCUUACUGGACAGUAACUGACGUUGAGGCUCGAAAGCGUGGGGAGCAAACAGGAUUAGAUACCCCGGUAGUC
rnacentral:rRNA from 1 species